ensembl:lncRNA novel transcript, antisense to DPH1 and OVCA2
UCCAAAUCACCACUUUAUUAUGUGGCAGUCACCAUGGUGCCAGCCUCUGCCUUCCCCAUGUCACCCUCCUAAUCCAGGGCUCUCCAACCAUAUUCAUGUUUGCGUUUUCACAAGUCAAUGUCCAUUAAGGCCUUGUGCUCCCCUUUUCUUCAGUACAGGGCAGGGCCCUUAUAAUUUGGGUCUCAAGAAUUGAUAGUUGUCUCUUAACUGGUUCUGGUGAGGCGCACUCACAGCAGUGAGUGGAGGGUCCUGGGAGGGCAUGGAUGACGGAGGCUGCCCCUAGAGGAGCUGGAUGUAGGAGCAGAGACAUUUCUUGAUCUUUCACUCUGCAAACUGGUCCAAGAACUUGAGAGGGGAUGACUUUGUCAGUGUCCCCAAAAACAUGGAGCGAAGGCAAUGACAAGGGCCUUUGCAGGAUGGAU